CAAAAAGUCAAAAAGUAAAAUUUUAAUGUAAAUAUACAUUUACAUGUACCUUUUAGUUGUAAAUUAUUUUAUUUUAAAAUAAAUUUUUUUUAACAUUCCUUAAAUGAGAUUUAAAUUUUCUGUGUUAUAAAUGACAUUACAUAAUGUGCAUAUCAGACAGAAAGUUUGUUAAUUUGACGAAAAUAUCAAUUUUAUUUUUUUCUCACUUGGUCAUAUGGCGUCUGUCUUCAUUAACUUUUCUAAAAUCUGCUGAUGAUUAAUGUUUAUUUUUUGAAAUUUUGACAUUUUGGGAGAUAUUGUCGGGGAACAAAAAUGAGACCUUCAUGGAAAAUGUACAAAUUUAUCACAUUACUGAAACUAUCAAUUUAAUACAUUUAUUGUAGUUCUGGCCCAUUUAUGAAGAUUUUUCUUAACUGUUUUUUUUUUCCAAUAUUUUUAGAUUUAUAAACAAGGAAAUUAAGAUCAUUUGAUAUUGUGAUAACUGCAUAAUGGAGGGUCAUUGGAUGGAGGAUUCAGGUUUAGCAAGGAUGAAAAAAAAUAAUGGCUGGUCUUGAUUUCACUUUGAAAAUUAAUUUUUUAUUUGAAAUUUAAUAAUUUGCUUCUAGUGACAAAAAUUGUGAUUGCAAUAAAGGUGAAUAUAAAUAUCAAAAUGACAUACUGUGAAUCAAUUUAUUUUUGUGGGUGUCAAUUUUCGUGGAUGGAGGAAAACUUGCAUGUUUAUGUAUAUUUGAUUUCAUGGUUUUGCCAAAGUCUGCAGACAAGCCUAUAGAAAACUUGUUAUUCGUUGUACAUAUAAUUUUCUGUGUCACCUAUACCCAUGAAAUCCACGAAAAUUGGUAUCCAACGUAUAAUAAUGAAUCCACAGUAUUCUUGUCAGGUGAGAGUUUCAGGCUCUUAGUACUUAGGAGCCACUAUAAUUACCGGUAUUAAGUAACACUGUGAUACUGUUGUUUUAUAUUACUUAUUUAUUUGUCUACCUAGUCAGUUAUUGUUAUACUCAAGGUUUUAAAUGCAGUGAUUGCUUUUAAAUAUAAUUUGUGAAGAUGUUAUUUUUUUAAU
rnacentral:lncRNA from 1 species